rnacentral:rRNA from 1 species
AUUGAACGCUGGCGGCAGGCCUAACACAUGCAAGUCGAACGAGUGGCGGACGGGUGAGUAAUGUCUGGGAAACUGCCUGAUGGAGGGGGAUAACUACUGGAAACGGUAGCUAAUACCGCAUACCAUCAGAUGUGCCCAGAUGGGAUUAGCUAGUUGGUGGGGUAACGGCUCACCAAGGCGACGACCCCUAGCUGGUCUGAGAGGAUGACCAGCCAAACUGGAACUGAGAAACGGUCCGGACUCCUACGGGGGGAAGCAGUGGGGAAUAUUGGCCAAUGGGCGCAGGCCUGAUGCAGCCAUGCCGCGUGUAUGAAGAGGGCCUUCGGGUUGUAAAGUACUUUCAGCGGGGAGGCGUUACCCGCAGAGGAAGCACCGGCUAACUCCGUGCCAGCAGCCGCGGUAAUAC